rnacentral:rRNA from 1 species
GGUUAAGUGACUAAGCGUACACGGUGGAUGCCUGGGCAGUCAGAGGCGAUGAAGGACGUACUAACUUGCGAUAAGCGCAGAUAAGGCAGUAAGAGCCGUUUGAGUCUGCGAUUUCCGAAUGGGGAAACCCAACUGCAUAAGCAGUUACUGUUAACUGAAUACAUAGGUUAACAGAGCAAACCGGGGGAACUGAAACAUCUAAGUACCCCGAGGAGAAGAAAUCAACCGAGAUUCCGGUAGUAGCGGCGAGCGAACCUGGAUUAGCCCUUAAGCACUCGGUGAAGUAGGUGAACAAGCUGGAAAGCUUGGCGAUACAGGGUGAUAGCCCCGUAACCGACGCUUCA